ACAAUGGAAAUAUGUGCUGUGUUCAGAUGAAUCAGUAUUGCAGAUUCUUUUGGGAAGAAAUGGACACCAUAUGCUGCACGAUGAAAGACAAAAAGGAUGGAU